rnacentral:rRNA from 1 species
CCGCACGCGCGCUACACUGAUACGUUCAACAAGUUCCUUGGUCGAAAGGUCUGGGUAAUCUUUGAAACCGUAUCGUGAUGGGGAUAGAACAUUGCAAUUAUUGUUCUUCAACGAGGAAUGCCUAGUAAGCGUGAGUCAUCAUCUCGCGUUGAUUACGU